rnacentral:rRNA from 1 species
UACGGAGGGUGCAAGCGUUAAUCGGAAUUACUGGGCGUAAAGCGCACGCAGGUGGCUGAGAAAGUCGAUUGUGAAAGCCCUGGGCUUAACCUGGGAAUUGCAGUCGAAACUACUUAGCUAGAGUAUGGGAGAGGGCAGUGGAAUUCCCGGUGUAGCGGUGAAAUGCGUAGAUAUCGGGAGGAACAUCAGUGGCGAAGGCGGCUGCCUGGCCCAAUACUGACACUCAGGUGCGACAGCGUGGGGAGCAAACAGG